rnacentral:lncRNA from 1 species
AUUAUAUUCUUACCUCGAAUGGAGAGGCACGUAGGGUAUCUCCUGGGGUAAAGCUUAGGGUUCACUUCACACCAAACCACCACGUGAGGGGGAACUCAGCCAACGCCAAGGAACGGCUAUGUUUUCAAAACAAAAAACAUGAUUUAUGUGAAAUGUGAAAUUUAAUAGCCUUGGCGAUCUCGGUAGGAUGCCUCGACCAAGGUGUCCUCGAGAAUGGAUUUAUGGCACAAGCCUAGUUUUUAUGAGAUUC